ensembl:lncRNA
UGAUUACCAGAGGGGAAAGGGGGUAAAGGGAGGGCAAAAGGGAUAAGGGCACACAUGUGUAUGGUGAUGGAUGGAAGCUAGACUUUUGGUGAUAAACACGAUGCUGUCUAUACAGAAGUCAAACUAUAAUGAUGUACACCUGAAAUUUGCACAAUGUUGUAAACCAAUGUGACCUCAAUAAGUAAAAUAACAAAUGAAAAAAAGAAAGGCAAACAGAGCUUCAGAGAGGGGAGAAGUUGGCCAUGAUCACAAGGGUGAGACAGGUUUCAACACCCGAAUUGUCUGCUCCUCAGCCCUGCUCUCCAAUCACUCUGUCCCCAGCAUGCAGCCCUCAGACUCCAAAGGCCAGGCCCUGGGCAUUUAGAGAUCAGUUUCAGCUGUGGACAUCUCUGUGGUGCACACUCUAGGUCCUAGGUGUCCCCCAGUGUUCUAGAGAUCUUUCACGUAUCCACGUCUCACUCUGCUAUUGGAAUCUCGCGUUCCAGAAUGAUAAUAAGGGUAAUUGCUAACACUCAGGGCCCUGGCUAAGCUCUAUAUAUUCACUGCCUCGAUGCCUUUGGCAGGUACUGUCCUUAUGCCUGCUUUCCACAUGAGGUGGGAGGGGUGAAAUAAUUUGCCAAAUGUCACACAGCUGAUAAGUAAGCAGAACUGGGACUUGAACUCAGCUUGACCGCAAAACCUCCAAUGCUGUCAACCACUGUGUUUCCAAGACUUGAGGAACAAGAAAAAGGGAAGUGGAAGAGAGAAGACAGAUGCUCAACACAUGAAGACAUCCUGACGGCUCUCAAGCAAGCCCAAGAACAGAAGAGAAACUUAGAGGAAUAGAGCAGAGCAUCUGCCAAGCCAGACUAUACAACACAAACAAGUUCCCAGAGAAAGAGUGUCAUUGUUUUCAAAAUGGCCACGUGUAAAAAUGGCUCCACAAACAAAAUGGCAGAAAGACCAACCCUUGUUGUUCGUCUAGUAAUGGCAAUUCCUCAGAGCCCUAACUGGCAUGACCAUGAGAACCAGCCUGUGCUGUGGCUUCUCACUAAGGCUCCUUCCACCGAGGAUGGUUUCAAGAUUCAGCCAUGUUGAGGGAAUGAAGGCACCUGGCUUGCUUCCGGCAUUGGCUUCUACGGAGAGCAGUGUAUUUGCACCUGCUUUUUACAGAUGAGGAAAGUGGUGCUCAGGCUAUUUAAGUGACUUGCUGAAAGUCACACAGCUAGUGAGAGGCAGAAGCAAGAGCUGAACUCAGCCAGAUCUUUCUGAUGCCAGAGCCCAAAAAAUUUUUGCUACACUGUGAUAUCAUCUGUGGCUUUCCCUGGCCUGGGGUGGCUUGGGAAAUAAAGUAUUCCAUGCUGUGUGUUCUCGGCAUUCAUUGGACUCAUUUGCAUCAGAGUCAGUCAGUCUGGAGAGUGGCUUUGAGCCCUGCUUUGCCAUUUACCAGCUGGGUGACCUUGGGCACACGACUGAACGUGCCUCUGCUUCUACUUUCUCAUCUCUAAAAUGGGGUGAUAACAGGAUGCCUCCACAGGGUUGUUGUGAGGAUUAAAUGAGCAAAUGUAGUGGAGCUCUGUGACCCUGCCAGGCAUGUGGUAAGUGCCGUACCAGUGUUUGUUGUUACUAAUUUGACAAACACCAAUUCAGCAUUAGCUCUAGGCCAGAACCCUGUGCUAAAGGAUGAGUAGCAUGCCUCAGACCCCUCUUGUCUGCACCCACCUCACAUCCUCUGGACCCACCUUUCCCUCCAGCCACUGGUGAGGCCAUCAGCUUCACACAGGUGUACCUGUCAGCUUCUUGCCUUGCUUUCCCACCAUCUCCCGCAGGAACAUGCCUGGCACUCACGAUGGGCAACCCGAAUGAAUGAGGAUGUUAAUAACCCAUGGGGUGACUCUAGACCAGCGAGGGAUGGGAGCCACUCCAUCACCUGGGGGAAAUUCCGAGGUCCGUCCUCCUAAGCAUCUCAGAGGGCCCCAGUGGGACGGAACGCCAAGAGCCCCAGUACUGACAUCUCAAGGACAAAACCCUUUCCUUCUUUCUCUGCUUUGUUCUCCCCAAGCCCCCACUCCUGCUUCUUGUCAUCUCUUCCGCAGACUAACUACCUGCAAACAAGCUCUUGUUUCAGGCUCAGCUUUUCAGGGAGACGUUAGGCUAAGAAAGCUCCUGCUGCUCACAGGCUAGCAGGGAAGAUGAAUGCAGAGCCAGUGCCAGCAGCACCUUCGAGCUGGCAUCUGGGAGCCCAGGUUGCUGGGCGGCUGGAGGAGCAGGGACACUACUGAUGUGGGGCAGACAACAUGGCGUGACAGGUGCGUGCUGAGAAUGAGGCUCGAGGAGCCUCCAUGCCAUCUUCCCUUAUGCCUUUUUCAUGACAAGGGACACUCUGAGGCUGGCGUGUGGCAUUCAGGCAUCAGGCAGAGUCUGGUUAAAAUAGUCUGUGCUGAAAGUGGUGUAGCCGCUGUGGAAAGCAGUAUGGCAAUUCCUCAAAACUUCAAAACUGGAAUUAUCAUAUAAUCCGGCAACUCUACUUCUGGACAUAGACCCCAAAGGACCGAAUGUGAGAUCUGGAAGAGAUAUUACACACCCACGUUCACAGCAGCAUUACUCACCAGAGCCAAAAUGUGGAAGCAGCCAAGUGUCCAUCUACAGAUAAACGGGUAAAGAAAAUGUGGUCUAUCCAUACGAUGAAAUAUUACUCAGCCUUAAAAAGGCAGGAAAUUCUGACACAGGCUACAGCAUGGACGACCCUGGAGGACAUUAUGUUAUGUGAAAUAAACCACUCACAAAAAGAUUGAUACUGAUGAUUCCACUUAUUCAAGCACCUGGAAUAGUCAGGUUCACAGAGAUAGACAGGAGAACGGUGGCUGCCAGGGGCUGGGGGAGGGAGGAAUAGGGAGUUAGUGUUAAAUGGGGAGAGUCAGUUUUGCAAAAUGAAAUGAGUUCUGGAGAUGGAUGGUGGUGAUGGUUGCACGACAAUGCGAAUGUACUUAAUGCCACUGAACUGUGCUCCCAAAAAUGGCUAACGCGGUAAAUUUCCUAGGUACAUUUUACCACAGUUAAAGAUUAAAAGGUACUUCUGAAAAAUUUUUAAAAAAGAAAGUUUGUGCUAAUUGCUCCCGCCUGCUCCUGACACCUGGUGUUUAACCCAAAUGAUUCUCUGUUGCCGAAGGUUGGGCAGCGUGAGGGAAAUGUUCUGGGGCCAGAGAGCACAUCUUAGAGCCACUUCUCUGCCUGUGGGUCCUCAUUUGUGAGAAAGCAUGUGAGGAGGGACCCGCCUGAGCAGGAAGAUGUAGGCCCUCUUCCUGCCGGCCUUCCCAGGAUGGGCAGCGGGUUUGGCCCCCUCUCUUACACCCCCGUGUGGCCCGCUCCCAGGCCUGACACCCUUGUCUGUCAGGGGAGGAGCAGAGAGACUCAGCUACUUGGGUCUAAGCCACGCAGGCUCUGGGGUCCUGGGUCACUGGGUGCACGCUCCCUGCUCAGGUGGACAGGGGAGACACCGCCUUCUGGAGAGCACAGACUGAUCUUGGAAACGUUUGACUCGGUUAUAUGAAACCUGAGUCAGUCCCCUAACACUCUCUAUGCCGAUUUACACAAGUGUCUUGCUAUUUGUAAUGAAUUCCCACAAACACAUGAUUCCUCACUCAUUCAUUCCCUCAUUCAUUCAUUUACUCAAAGAGCAUACACUGUCUAUCAGGUGGUAGACACAGUGCUGGGGGCCAGGGGAAGAGGUACCACAGAGACAGACCUCACUCUGCCUUCCAGAAUCAUCUAGGCCAGAGGAGGAUUGGACAUGGGAGAGGAGGUGACACAAAACUCGGUGAGGCCUCUGAGGGGAGGGGGGCUCUGGGCACAGAAGACAGGAAAGAUGUUUAGCGUUGCCUAAACUGAGAUUCGAAGAUUGAACAAAGUUAGCCAGGCAAAGGGGGAGGGGGCGGAGGGACAGCAUGCCCAAUGCCCCGGGGUCCAGAGGGCAGGCGUGUUUGAGGACCCAGGAGAAGUGGAGUUUGGGCUGAGUGUGAGGGAGACAGGGGCUCUGGCUGUGGAGGGCCCUGCUGUUGUGUGAAGGAGACUGUGCCGCAUCCCGGAGGUCGUGCGAAGCCCUGGAGGGUCUGAGGCAGGGAGCCCUAAGCCGUUUCUGCGCCCGGUGCGGAGGUUCCACCCAAUUAGUGGAGGCAGCCACAGCUGGCUGGUGCUCCACUGGCCGGGCCUCAGGGUCUCUCAGUGUUACCGUGGGCACCCGUCCAGCCUUGCUGGCUCCCAACACUGGCUGGCUCCCUUGCCCAGGCGGUGUAGGAAGGCAGAGGCUGUUGAAUUGCUUCAUCAACCGGGAGCCUCUGAGCCCGGAGCCAGACUGAGACCUCAGCAUCUGCCGUGUGGAACAGGUGGCAUUCCGAGGGCAUCUGCAGGAGUCCGUAUCUGAGUCUUUGAGCAAGGCUGCCUGGGGCAGCGUCCCCAGGAACCGGCAUCCUUUUGGGCUCUGGGCUAAGACUGAGGGCUGAUGGGGACACUAGAGGAGCUCCCCUGCACCAGGACCACUCCCCAAGCCCACUUCCCUCCCUGUCUGGGAAGGUGGGCUUUGCUGCAGUGCACUAAGGGCCAAGGGGCUCCCUUCUGUGAGUAGCAAAUGGUCCUUUCAUGGGAAUCGCAGACACAGCUGUGGAAAGUCUAGUGGUGGGGCCAGGGGGGACCCCAGAGUUCACCUCUCUACUCCGAUGGUCCCCAAACAUCACUCAUUCACCAUGCUCGCCCUCUUCAAACGUGCUGUUAUUUGCUGAUGUUUUUUCAAUUGAUUCACCUAAAAUUAAAUAUACUGAUUUAGAAAGGAGAAUGUAUUCUUAUUGCAUAAUGAAAAAACUAUUUGCACUUUCCAUAAAUAGGAGAUUAAAAAAAAAAAGCCUAAAUAUCCAAAGAAGGUUGUCCACGGGCCUCGUAAAAGCCCUCACUGCUGCCUGGCCGCUGGUGUGCCCCGCUUUGGCAUUUCAUUUGGAUCCGGGAGCGUUUGGGGGAAGCCCUUGCACCAGCUCUGUGCUCCGCCCUGGGGCGUGAGCUCCUACAGCCGGGAGGAUGGACCCACGUCCCCCUCCUGCAGCAGGGCUGGUGCUGACCUGAAGACACAGAAAAUUCAGAGAAAUGACCUUACCCGCCAGGUGCUGUGAAAGUCUUCAGUCCUUCCUCUGUGGUCUUCUGCGCUGGGCUGUGGUCCCCCGUGCACCCCGCUCCGAGCCCACUGGUUGGAUGCCUUUCCUCGGGGUCAGCCCCGGCUGCCGCUUCUCACUCCUCGCACAUUCUCAGGGUCAUCUUGCCGGAAGGGGAAGCCUGGCUGAAAGUCCCAUGCUGCUGACUCCAGCUCUCCACCGCCAACCCCGUGUUGCUCGAGCAUCUCUGACCCAUUGCUGAGUCCACAUCUCCACUCCUGGGUCUUGCAGGUUCCUCCAACUCAACAUGGCGGAGCCACCUCACCAUCUUCCACCCAGACCUGCGUCCCCCCAUCACCGUGACUGACACCCACCACCCACUUGCGGAAGCCAGACACCAGGAAACACUCCUGGCCCCUCCCGCCUCCUCCCCCCAGCAACUCUGUGCAUCAGUCUGAACAGCCUGUCAAGGCUGCCUCUGGAGUAUCUUCCCAUCCAGUCCCUCCGCCUCCAGCCUGUUCCGGGCCAUGUUACCUCCUGGCAUAGCCUCCUCUCUGGUCUCCCUUCUCCAGUCUUGUUCAUUCCACCCUGCAGCGGGAGGGGUCUCCCCGGACCACAGAGCCGAUUGUUAAAACCUUUCCAUGGCUCCCCACUGCCUAGGGAUGAAGCCCACUGUCCUCAAUGUGACCAGAAGGCCCUGCAUUAGCUUAGGGGGUCCAUCUCGAGACUCCCUAAGCAGAUUUUUUGUUCCCCAUCACAGCACUCAUUGUCUGAUUGCAUUUUCCUGAUACUUGUCAUCUCCUCUAGACUUGGAGCCCUCUAUGUGCUGGCCAUGCCACUAACGCCACCCCUAUGUCCCCAGAGUCUCUCACAAUGCCUGGCACAAGGCAGGCACUCAAUAAAUGUUGUC